GAUGAACGCUGGCGGCGUGCCUAUACAUGCAAGUCGAGCGAAUGGAUUAAGAGCUUGCUCUUAUGAAGUUAGCGGCGGACGGGUGAGUAACACGUGGGUAACCUGCCCAUAAGACUGGGAUAACUCCGGGAAACCGGGGCUAAUACCGGAUAACAUUUUGAACCGCAUGGUUCGAAAUUGAAAGGCGGCUUCGGCUGUCACUUAUGGAUGGACCCGCGUCGCAUUAGCUAGUUGGUGAGGUAACGGCUCACCAAGGCAACGAUGCGUAGCCGACCUGGGAGGGUGAUCGGCCACACUGGGACUGAGACACGGCCCAGACCCCUACGGGAGGCAGCAGUAGGGAAUCUUCCGCAAUGGACGAAAGUCUGACGGAGCAACGCCGCGUGAGUGAUGAAGGCUUUCGGGUCGUAAAACUCUGUUGUUAGGGAAGAACAAGUGCUAGUUGAAUAAGCUGGCACCUUGACGGUACCUAACCAGAAAGCCACGGCUAACUACGUGCCAGCAGCCGCCGUAA
rnacentral:rRNA from 1 species